UAUGGCGGGGACUCAUGGGAGACUGCCGGGGUCAACUCGGAGGAAGGUGGGGAUGACGUCAAGUCCUCAUGGCCCUUACGGGAUGGGCUACACACGUGCUACAAUGGCGGUGACAGAGGGACGCGAAACCGCGAGGUUGAGCAAAUCCCCAAAAGCCGUCUCAGUUCGGAUUGCACUCUGCAACUCGGGUGCAUGAAGGCGGAAUCGCUAGUAAUCGUGGAUCAGCACGCCACGGUGAAUACGUUCCCGGGCCUUGUACACACCGCCCGUCACACCAUGGAAGCUGGUCACACCCAAAGUCGUUAUUCUAACCGUUUGGAGGAAGGCGCCUAAGGUAGGAUUGGUGACUGGGGUGAAGUCGUAACAAGGUAGCCGUACCGGAAGGUGCGGCUGGAUCACCU
rnacentral:rRNA from 14 species